UACGUAGGGUGCAAGCGUUGUCCGGAAUUAUUGGGCGUAAAGAGCUCGUAGGCGGUCUGUCACGUCGGCUGUGAAAACCCGAGGCUCAACCUCGGGCCUGCAGUCGAUACGGGCAAACUAGAGUACUGCAGGGGAGACUGGAAUUCCUGGUGUAGCGGUGAAAUGCGCAGAUAUCAGGAAGAACACCAAUGGCGAAGGCAGCUCUCUGGGACGGUACUGACGCUGAGACGCGAAAGCGUGGGGAGCGAACAGG
rnacentral:rRNA from 1 species